CAGUCGAACGGAGAAUUUUAUUUCGGUAGAAUUCUUAGUGGCGAACGGGUGAGCUAACGCGUAGGCAACCUGCCCUUUAGACGGGGACAACAUUCCGAAAGGAGUGCUAAUACCGGAUGUGAUCAUCGUGCCGCAUGGCAGGGUGAAGAAAGAUGGCCUCUACAAGUAAGCUAUCGCUAAAGGAUGGGCCUGCGUCUGAUUAGCUAGUUGGUAGUGUAACGGACUACCAAGGCGAUGAUCAGUAGCCGGUCUGAGAGGAUGAACGGCCACAUUGGGACUGAGACACGGCCCAAACUCCUACGGGGGGCAGCAGUGGGGAAUCUUCCGCAAUGGACGAAAGUCUGACGGAGCAACGCCGCGUGAGUGAUGAAGGAUUUCGGUCUGUAAAGCUCUGUUGUUUAUGACGAACGUGCAGUGUGUGAACAAUGCAUUGCAAUGACGGUAGUAAACGAGGAAGCCACGGCUAACUACGUGCCAGCAGCCGCGGUAAUACGUAGGUGGCGAGCGUUGUCCGGAAUUAUUGGGCGUAAAGAGCAUGUAGGCGGCUUAAUAAGUCGAGCGUGAAAAUGCGGGGCUCAACCCCGUAUGGCGCUGGAAACUGUUAGGCUUGAGUGCAGGAGAGGAAAGGGGAAUUCCCAGUGUAGCGGUGAAAUGCGUAGAUAUUGGGAGGAACACCAGUGGCGAAGGCGCCUUUCUGGACUGUGUCUGACGCUG
rnacentral:rRNA from 1 species